GCAGGUCCUACGAGGGCACUCUGUACAAGAAGGGGGCCUUCAUGAAGCCUUGGAAGGCCCGCUGGUUCGUGCUGGACAAGACCAAGCACCAGCUGCGCUACUACGACCACCGUGUGGACACAGAGUGCAAGGGUGUCAUCGACUUGGCGGAGGUGGAGGCUGUGGCACCUGGCACGCCCACUAUGGGUGCCCCUAAGACUGUGGACGAGAAGGCCUUCUUUGACGUGAAGACAACGCGUCGCGUUUACAACUUCUGUGCCCAGGACGUGCCCUCGGCCCAGCAGUGGGUGGACCGGAUCCAGAGCUGCCUGUCGGACGCCUGAGCCUCCCAGCCCUGCCCGGUUGCUCUGCUUCCAGUCAUUACCGACCACUAGGGGUGGGCAGGGCCGCCCCGGCCAUGUUUACAGCCCCGGCCCUCGACAGUAUUGAGGCCCCGAGCCCCCAGCACUUGUGUGUACAGCCCCCGUCCCCGCCCCGCCCCGCCCGGCCGGCCCUAACUUAUUUUGGCGUCACAGCUGAGCACCGUGCCGGGAGGUGGCCAAGGUACAGCCCGCAAUGGGCCUGUAAAUAGUCCGGCCCCGUCAGCGUGUGCUGGUCCAGCCAGCGGCUGCAGGCGAGUUUCUAGAACCAGAGUCUAUAUAAAGAGAGAACUAACGCCACGCUCCUGUGCCUGCCUUCCCCACUCCCCGGCUGCCUGCUCUCGGCCUACCCAGAGGGUCCC
rnacentral:lncRNA from 1 species